UCCCCCCCCCCCCCCCCCCCCCGGUAGAGCGUCCUUUGGGCCGUGUGACCUGGGGAAUCCCUGUGAAACCAGCACUGAAGGCUCCAGAUGACUGGCAAAUGCUGUUUCAAGCGAGCCGGAACUGUCUUAGCUGCCCGAGCCCCUCUGCUCAGCUUUCGUCCAUCUGCAUUUGUCCUGGCCUCCUUCUCUUCGCUCCCGGUCAGCGCAGAUUGGCCCCCGCGUCCCCCUGCAUGAUCCCAGGGCGCUGCCCAUAACCUGGGCACUCCCCGCCAGAGUGGUAUCUCCUGGCCAGCCCAGGCCUUGAAGCUGUGCUCUUCUGACGAGCCCCCUUCACAGGACAGCUGGACGCCCCGCCUUCUGCGGAGACGUCAUGGGGGCGUGGCUGCCCUGCGUUGGUCCGACCGUGGCAGCGAUCCUGGUAAUUUGAAAACCAGUUUUAUUUGUGAAGAUGCCCGAGUUUCCCCACAUUUCCCAAAACAGCACCUUUCAUUGGGCACGUAAAGCCCAGGAGAGCAGCCCUGGGGAGAAGCACAGCCGAAUUCACAAAACACAGGAUAAACGGCUGCCUCUCAGCUGUGCGACUUCUCGUCUUCUCGCGCAUCCGUUUUCCUGCUGCAAGAAUGGGUCCUCAGGCUCUGGUCGGUGAGUCCUGUGUGUGGGCCUGUUACCUGCUGAGACCUCACUUGGAGACUGCAGAGGUUAGCUCCUCGCUAGACCCCAUCGCAUCCCCGUGAUGUCUCUGCUUUCCAUCAGCCCCCCCUGCCUAUUGCUGAUCUUCUUGACACGCAUGCCUUUAUGCCAGCUCCCUCUGAGCCUCACAAAGUGUGCGGCUGGACCAGCGACACCGGGGAGGCACACCGUAGGUGCUCGAUAAUGAAAGUGCCUGGCCUGUGGCAAAGGGGAGCCAGAGGUCGCCGUCUGGCCCAUCCGGUUUUGUCCUCCACUCCAAGGCCAUCUUCCAGAAUCACAGGUGGUCAGCACCAACCGCUGAACGUACACCCUCCCGAGAACCUUCCAGGGCUCUGCCCUCUCCCCAUCUGUGCCACCCUGGGUCCCCAGGUCCUUUGACUCAAGGCUUUAGCAUUUAAACUGGCAGAUGAUGUAACCGGAGGCUCCCUGGAAAGGGCCCCUCCCUCUAGCUCACCCACCUUAGCUACAGUGUUCAUCAAAAAUGAUUAAUGUUCCAGAGCCCUUGAGAAUUAUCUGGGUCACACCUGGCCAUGCUGUCACCAAACCCCGCAGUGCGUUAUAGGUCACAGUGAAGGAAGCCACCCCCACUAGCCAGCCCCCAAGACCUGGCCAGCACACCAACCAGACUUUUGCAUGAGGGGGGCCAACCAGCCCCUCCCAGGCUGGACAGUUCGUACGGCCUGUCAGUCCGAUGCUCAGCCAGAGACCGUGACCACCUCUCCUUCGGCAAGACCCAGUUUCCACAGCUCCACCCUCUCGCCCAGGAAAGCAGGACCAAAGGAGGAGGCAGGGGACUUGAUGCCAACACGUAAAAUAAAAAGAAUUGUAAACCACAUACUCGUGUUUUGGAUAAGAUGUCAAGAAAGCUUUCUUCAGUUAUGGAAAUUCCUUUAAAAUCAACAAAACCCCGUGGGUUGUGUUCUUUGGUGAGUUCUUCCUGUUCUUUUGCCUCCUUUUCAUUUUCACCGUAAGAAUCCAUAACCAGCCUAAAGAACAAGUCUUGCUGCAUAAUACAAGAGCAGUGGAACUAUGGGUGAUAUUAAUAAUAUGUACAUUUAUCGAGCAUUUUUCAACUUUAAAGCCCUUUAUAAAUAUUAACUAAUUAAUCCCCUUAGCAACAAAGUAGUUACUUUGCGGGCUUUUAGGCAUAUAAUUCAAGAAUGGCCUGAAUUAUAAAUCUCCCUGUGGAAUGAUUUGCCAUCUCUUUCAAAUAUACCACAUUGGUUGAGAUGCUGUUUCUGUCUUCUUCUGAAGUCAAAUUUUAAAAAUCACUCUAAAAGAAAAGCGGAAAAGAAAAGAAUUCUAGCUGCAGCCAAUGUAUCCUAGUUGUCAGCUUGCUUGUGCUAAAGGCAAAAAAUGUUUUCAGCACUGAAUCUCAUCUAAGGCUUGCUGACUACUAACCAUGCCCUAGAUGCUAGCAUCUCUGAUGGCUCACAUAGAAAAUUCCAGAAACAAACAUCCUCGAUUCUAUUUAAGUGUAUUUAAAAAUAAAACAGACAUCAAUACUAAUAUUGCUCUGGGCUAUUAUUGCCUUAGGUGUUUUUCCUCUUUCCUUUCUGAGGUUGGAAUCAA